AUACGGAGGGUGCAAGCGUUACUCGGAAUCACUGGGCGUAAAGGACGCGUAGGCGGGAAGCCAAGUCUGAUGUGAAAUCCUAUGGCUUAACCAUAGAACUGCAUUGGAAACUGGUUACCUAGAGUAUGGGAGGGGGAGAUGGAAUUAGUGGUGUAGGGGUAAAAUCCGUAGAUAUCACUAGGAAUACCGAAAGCGAAGGCGAUCUCCUGGAACAAUACUGACGCUAAGGCGUGAAAGCGUGGGGAGCAAACGGGAUUAGAUACCCUAGUAGUCC
rnacentral:rRNA from 1 species